rnacentral:lncRNA from 1 species
UAGGGUUUUAAAACCCUAAACUGAACUUUUCCCUUUAGUCAGCAAUAGGGUUUUAAACCCUAAACUGAACUCUUUCCUUUAGUCAGCAUUAGGGUUUUAAACCUUGAACUGAACUCUUUCCUUUAGUCAGCAUUAGGGUUUUAAACCUUAAACUGAACUCUUCCCUUUAGUCAGCAUUAGGGUUUUAAACCCUAAACUGAACUUUUCCCUUUAAUCAGGAUUUGGGUUUAAAACCAUAAAUUGAACUCUUCCCUUUAGUCAGCAUUAUGGUUUUAAAUCCUAAACUAAACUUUUCCCUUUAGUCAGCAUUAGGGUUUUAAACCCUAAACUGAACUUUUUCCAUUUAGUCAGCUUAGGGUUUUAACACUAAACUGAACUCUUUCCAUUAGUCAGCAUUAGGGCUUUAAACUCUAAACUGAACUUUUUCCAGUUAGUCAGCAUUAGUGUUUUAAACCCUAAACUGAACUUUUCCCUUUAAUCAUGAUUUGGGUUUUAAACCCUAAACUGACCUCUUCCCUUUAGUCAGCAUUA